AAGAAAAACUGGAAACAAUUUUGUGCUGGUUUGUUUCCACCAGUGGGGAACUCAGAGCAUUUGAAGGAUUGAAGAGGGCUUUACUUACCCAAGUCCCUCAUCUAUCAGUCACUUCCCUGAUAAUGUGGAUCCAGGGAAAGAUAGAAAGAAAGAACAAAAUAAAAGGCAGUGAGAAAAAGAAGAAGAAAAAGGAGAAGGCUUUUUGAGUUUUGUCCUGAUGGGCAACCAUAAACUCUCCAUCAUGCACAAGAUUAAGGUAAGGUUAUAAACUGAAAUAAAAUAGGUACCACAUAGUUGAAAAAUUGGAGACCCAUGAUGUUGGUGGGUGGUGGCUACACAUAGGAUGAUAGAGUGUGACAUGGCAAUGGAAGAAAGAGAAGGGUGGUUGAAUUGCUUGGGUUGUUUUUAUCAGUUCCCGGUUAUUGGGGUAAGGAUUCCCAAAGGGUGAGGUGGGGCCCAAUUGCUGUUUGUCUGGUGGGUUUAGAGGCACUGCACGCCCUUUCAUGCCCCAUCGCUGCCUCUUUACUAGACCAAUGUGAGAUAGGACCACAACCUCAACCACUCCUAUAAGAACCCCCCAUCCCUCACUCACUCACAACACAACUCAACUUCAAAGCUUCAAAGCUUCAAAGCGUCAACAAACCUUAAAACAAAGGAUAACCCUACAAUAAUAUACUCUACAAAAAUGAAGAUGGCUAGUCCUAGCAUGGGAGGUUCAAAGAGAAGGCUCUCAAGCAGAGGGUUUGGAGGAGCCCUCAGGGAACAAAGGGCAAGGCUAUACAUAAUCAGAAGGUGUGUGGUCAUGCUCCUCUGCUGGCAUGACUAGUACUAUUUCACCUCUUCAAAAUCCAUCACUAUGGAAAACAAGAUUGCUUCUUUCUCUCCUUUCUAUUCUAUUUUUCUUCUUCUCUUCUUCUCUUCUUCUCUUCCUUUCAUUCAUAUCGUGGAGUGUGUAUAUAGCUGACGGCUGGUUAUUGUGGAAGAGUGUUAACAAUUUUUUGUAUGGCUUGCUGGCCUUAUAAAUACAUAUAUGACUUGGCUUUAUGUACAUCGCAAUAACAGAAUUAUUUAUAACAGUUUCAAUUUUAUCAUAUACAUUCAGAGUUUAUUUUUCUACUGUUUUUUCUCUUUAGCUUUCUUUUCUAUUUGAUGCACUGAUUCACUGGG
rnacentral:sRNA from 1 species